rnacentral:rRNA from 1 species
GAUGAACGCUGGCGGCGUGCCUAAUACAUGCAAGUCGAGCGAACGGACGAGAAGCUUGCUUCUCUGAUGUUAGCGGCGGACGGGUGAGUAACACGUGGAUAACCUACCUAUAAGACUGGGAUAACUUCGGGAAACCGUAGCUAAUACCGGAUAAUAUUUUGAACCGCAUGGUUCAAAAGUGAAAGACGGUCUUGCUGUCACUUAUAGAUGGAUCCGCGCUGCAUUAGCUAGUUGGUAAGGUAACGGCUUACCAAGGCAACGAUGCAUAGCCGACCUGAGAGGGUGAUCGGCCACACUGGAACUGAGACACGGUCCAGACUCCUACGGGAGGCAGCAGUAGGGAAUCUUCCUCAAAGGGCGAAAGCCUGACGGAGCAACGCCGCGUGAGUGAUGAAGGUCUUCGGAUCGUAAAACUCUGUUAUUAGGGAAGAACAUAUGUGUAAGUAACUGUGCACAUCUUGACGGUACCUAAUCAGAAAGCCACGGCUAACUACGUG